UCUCCGUUGGUGAACCAGCGGAGGGAUCAUUACAGAGUUGCAAGACUCCCAAACCAUUGUGAACGUUACCUAUCCCGUUGCUUCGGCGGGCGGCCCGGGCCCCGCGCCCGGCGCCCCCCGGCCCCCCGUGGGCGCCCGCCGGAGGUAAACCAAACCCUUGAAUUGCAUGGCCUCUCUGAGUCUUCUGGACUGAAUAAGUCAAAACUUUCAACAACGGAUCUCUUGGUUCUG
rnacentral:misc_RNA from 1 species